CUUCUUCAAUGUUCUCAAACCCUACACCCACAUUUUCUCCUUCACGAUUCUUCCUUCUGCUUCAAGCCAAACCUUCAAACCCUAAUCCACCAUGAACACACCAAAACACACCUGCUUAAAACUCCAAAUCCCUCAACAUCCCCAACCAAUCUUCAUCAAAGGCACCUGGUUUUCUUCUCACUUCAGUCUCCUCCUUCUCCUUCGUGUCUGAUAAAGUUUAAUAUAUGCAAAUCUGACAUCUGGAUGCUACAAGAAGCUCGGAAUCCAUGGGGACUAAAAGCUCUCUGAUUAGGCAUAACAAGCCAGGGAUUGCAGCAUUUCGUCUUGCAAAUGGAUUUUGUGAAAUGGCUGAAAGUGUGGUGUUCUUCAGUAAGGCCCUAUGUUUCUACUUUCUACUGCUCUAUUGUUCACGUGCUUGGACCACCUUAUGAGAAAUAUGAUAGAGAGGUAUCUAUGCUGCUUCUUGAUGUGGACUUUUGAUUGUUAAUGGAGGUUGAUGAUGAGGAUUCUGAAGACCAUUCACUUAUGGAACUUGCAGGUGAUAUGCUUGAAGAAAGGUUUAAAUUAACAGGUCAUCGGAGUAGGGCUAUAAAUGAGAAACAAUACUGUGACAGCCACCUAGCACCUUUCUACAGAAUCGAGCUUAUGACGAGUAGCGAGGAUGAUCACUAUAUAAGUGGUGGUUCAAGUAUACAUCUGUCAUGUUAAAUGGCCGCAGAUUAAUUUGUGGUAACAUCAUGACUCAUGCUUUUACAACAAGGUGAAAAAAAUGACAGGGUAGGUUGUUUCAGAAGCCAAAGUGGAGAAGCCAAAGUGGAGCAUUUCUGCUGGGGAAAUUACCAGAUAAAGACAUAAUAGAAAUGGUGUUUUUUCCUGUUGUGAAUGAGGCGUUUAGAGUAUAUGCAGGGGUAUUACAGUAAAAACAUCCGAUUUGGAUAUCGAUGGUGUUAUGGGAAUGGAAUUUCCACCUUACAGAUUCUUUUUCAUCUUUUGAUCAAAACUUUUUUUUUUAAUUUUAAUUUUAGUUUUGAAUAUCAACAUGUGUUUUGUACAGGGGAGUGAUUAUGUUAAGGGGAGAUUUGGUUGGAUCUAAGUACAUUCAUAGGAGGUUGAAUGAGUGGUGAAUGAUGUACGGGGUUCUUCAAGCCGUGCAACUAUUUGGCUCAGAGAGUUGCACAUGGGGCUCCUUUGGUGCUUGAUGUCAACCAGAUGAAUGGCCUUACAACUGAUCCACAAAUGCUUGAUGUCGCUUCAAAUAACGUCAGAAGGGAGGCAUCCACCAUCUCCCAUAAUGUCAGUGAAACAAGUUAUUUCUUCUCUUUAUUUAGUUGAUUAUUUUGAAUGGGUUAUUGUGCUUAAGGCUCUUAUAUGUACUUCAUGUUGUUUUGUUAUCAAAUUUGGUUCAGUAA